rnacentral:miRNA from 1 species
AAUGUGUAUGUGUAUAUAUAUGUGUGUGUGUGUGUGUGUGUGUGUAUAUACACACACACACACACACACACGCAUAUGUAUAUGUAUAUG